AUUGAACGCUGGCGGCAGGCCUAACACAUGCAAGUCGAGCGGAGCGGCGGACGGGUUAGUAAUACCUAGGAUUCUGCGUGGUAGAGGUGGAUAACGUUCGGAAACGGACGCUAAUAACGCAUACUAUCAGUUGAGCCUCGGUCGGAUUAGCUAGGUGGUGGGUUAAUGGCUCACCAAGGCUAAGAUCGGUAACUGGUCUGAGAGGAUGAUCAGUCACACGGGAACUGAGACACGGUCCAGACUCCUACGGGAGGCAGCAGUGGGGAAUAUUGGACAAUGGGCGAAAGCCUGAUCCAGCCAUGCGGGGGGUGUGAAGAAGGUCUUCGGAUUGUAAAGCACUUUAAGUUGGGAGGCGUUACCUAAAGAAAAAGCACCGGCUAACUCUGUGCCAGCAGCCGCGGUAAUUC
rnacentral:rRNA from 1 species